rnacentral:rRNA from 1 species
UACGAAGGGGGCUAGCGUUGCUCGGAAUCACUGGGCGUAAAGGGUGCGUAGGCGGGUCUUUAAGUCAGGGGUGAAAUCCUGGAGCUCAACUCCAGAACUGCCUUUGAUACUGGCGAUCUUGAGUCCGGGAGAGGUGAGUGGAACUGCGAGUGUAGAGGUGAAAUUCGUAGAUAUUCGCAAGAACACCAGUGGCGAAGGCGGCUCACUGGCCCGGCAUUGACGCUGAGGCGCGAAAGCCAGGGGAGCAAACGGG